ensembl:misc_RNA Y_RNA Y RNA
GGUUGGUCUGAGUGUAGUGAUGUUUACAAUUAAUUGAUCACAACCAGUUAGAUUCUUUUGUUCCUUCUCCACUCCCACUGCUUCCCUUGACUAGACUUUA